rnacentral:rRNA from 1 species
CCUAGGGCGGCUGCAGUGGGGAAUAUUGGACAAUGGGCGAAAGCCUGAUCCAGCCAUGCCGCGUGUGUGAAGAAGGCCUUCGGGUUGUAAAGCACUUUCAGUGGGGAAGAAAGCCUUGGGGCUAAUACCCUCGAGGAAGGACAUCACCCACAGAAGAAGCACCGGCUAACUCCGUGCCAGCAGCCGCGGUAAUACGGAGGGUGCGAGCGUUAAUCGGAAUUACUGGGCGUAAAGCGCGCGUAGGCGGUCUGAUAAGCCGGUUGUGAAAGCCCCGGGCUCAACCUGGGAACGGCAUCCGGAACUGUCAGGCUAGAGUGCAGGAGAGGAAGGUAGAAUUCCCGGUGUAGCGGUGAAAUGCGUAGAGAUCGGGAGGAAUACCAGUGGCGAAGGCGGCCUUCUGGACUGACACUGACGCUGAGGUGCGAAAGCGUGGGUAGCAAACAGGAUUAGAUACCCUAGUAGUC